AGUAACGCGUGGGAACGUUACCCAGAUCUAAGGAAUAGCCACUGGAAACGGUGAGUAAUACCUUAUACGCCCUUCGGGGGAAAGAUUUAUCGGAUUUGGAUCGGCCCGCGUUAGAUUAGGUAGUUGGUGGGGUAAUGGCCUACCAAGCCUACGAUCUAUAGCUGGUUUUAGAGGAUGAUCAGCAACACUGGGACUGAGACACGGCCCAGACUCCUACGGGAGGCAGCAGUGGGGAAUCUUAGACAAUGGGCGCAAGCCUGAUCUAGCCAUGCCGCGUGAGUGAUGAAGGCCUUAGGGUCGUAAAGCUCUUUCGCCUGUGAUGAUAAUGACAGUAGCAGGUAAAGAAACCCCGGCUAACUCCGUGCCAGCAGCCGCGGUAAUACGGAGGGGGUUAGCGUUGUUCGGAAUUACUGGGCGUAAAGCGCACGUAGGCGGAUUAGAAAGUUAGGGGUGAAAUCCCGGGGCUCAACCUCGGAACUGCCUCUAAAACUCCUAGUCUAGAGUUCGAGAGAGGUGAGUGGAAUUCCAAGUGUAGAGGUGAAAUUCGUAGAUAUUUGGAGGAACACCAGUGGCGAAGGCGGCUCACUGGCUCGAUACUGACGCUGAGGUGCGAAAGUGUGGGGAGCAAACAGGAUUAGAUACCCUGGUAG
rnacentral:rRNA from 1 species